CAAAUCUUUUCGUAUCAACAAGAAAUACGAAGACUACUCGUAUUUCAACGUUACUUUUAGGUAAGACAUUUACAUUAUUUUUUAAUUUUGUUUCUUGUACCUAACGGAACUGCAACGACAAUAAUUUUGUUUUAUUUUACUCAAAUCGCUUUCGUGGCUCUAUCCUGGAGCUGCGGGGAAGCCCAGGUUUGUCGUACUUGUCCGAGUGGCGGCCGAAUUGUGUGUGGCUCUAGCGCGAGAAACGGCGAUCAAUCUGAAUUCGAAAAUGUUUGUGCUAUGAACCGAUACAAUUGUUUGACUGGAAGCGACUACAGAAUAAUCGCAAAUGGCUUUUGUCCAGGCAGAGGUUAACCGGUUUAACUUGGAUUUACAAACCUUUCAUGAUAAAAUUAUUACCUACAUAUGUAUGUAAUAGUAAAAAAUUGUGCCUACAUGUUUUUUCAAUUUUCUUGAUGAUAAUAAAAUAUUAAUGUUA